GAUGAAGAACGCAGCGAAAUGCGAUAAGUAAUGUGAAUUGCAGAAUUCAGUGAAUCAUCGAAUCUUUGAACGCACAUUGCGCCCGCCAGUAUUCUGGCGGGCAUGCCUGUUCGAGCGUCAUUUCAACCAUCAAGCCCCCGGCUUGUGUUGGGGACCUGCGGCUGCCGCAGGCCCUGAAAACCAGUGGCGGGCUCGCUAGUCACUCCGAGCGUAGUAAUACAUCUCGCUCAGGGCGUGCUGCGGGUUCCGGCCGUUAAAAAGCCUUAUUUACCCAAGGUUGACCUCGGAUCAGGUAGGAAGACCCGCUGAACUUAAGCAUAUCAAUAGGCGGAGGA
rnacentral:misc_RNA from 1 species